UGGAAAGGUAGUGUGGCGAUGCGCGAAGCGCAUCGCCUCAUUAAUGCGUCAAUUUCAUAAUGGAUGUUUUUUAUCUAUGUAGCUAAUCGAUGUAGCUAUUCAAGUGAUGGUAGCUACGAUUUUCUAAGACUUCACCUCAUCACGUGAUCCUCACCCCGCCUAUAGUAGGCGUGUUAACCAGUAGAGAUGGCGAUAAAGCAGAGCUACUAGCCUUGAGUGUGUUUAAGCUUCAUGCAUGUCAGUGUUCUUGGUGGAGAUCAAGAGCUCAUCAAAUCCAAGGAGUCUUUCCAAUCUUAUUAUUGAUAGGACCAAACAAGAGGGAUCUGAUACUGAGGACCAAACAAGGAGGAUCAGAUAGCCCCAGGCUCAAGGAAUGGCUCAGAGAGACUCGAUAAAGAAAAAGGCAUCGUAUAACUGGUCACUCUUUUUUUACCAUUAGCAAUUGCAUGUUUUGUUUUAAUGCCUGUACUACUAUGAUGUUCUUAAUUGUUGAAUGAAAUUGCAGUAUACCGAAA